AGCAGCCGCGGUAAUUCCAGCUCCAAUAGCGUAUAUUAAAGUUGUUGCAGUUAAAAAGCUCGUAGUUGAAUUUCGGGGUCAGUAGGUUGGUCGUGCCACUGGUAUGUACUGGUCUCACUGAUUCCUCCUUCCUGAUGAGCCGUAAUGCCAUUAAUUUGGUGUUGCGAGGAAUCUGGACUGUUACUUUGAAAAAUUGAGUGUUUAAAGCUAGGCUUAACGCUUGAAUACAUUAGCAUGGAAUAAUGGAAUAGGGCGUUACGAUCCUAUUUUGUUGGUUUCUAGGAUUGACGUAAUGAUUAAUAGGGAUAGUUGGGGGCAUUAGUAUUCAAUUGUCAGAGGUGAAAUUCUUGGAUUUAUUGAAGACUAACUACUGCGAAAGCAUUUGACCAAGGAUUGUUUUCAUUAAUCAAGAACGAAAGUUAGGGGAUCGAAGACGAUCAGAUACCGUGUAGUCUUAACCAUAAACUAUGCCGACUAGGGAUCGGAUGAUGUUAAUUUUAUGUACUCAUUCGGCGUACCC
rnacentral:rRNA from 1 species